CAGUAGCCGCGGUAAUACGUAGGUGGCAAGCGUUAUCCGGAAUUAUUGGGCGUAAAGCGCGCGUAGGCGGUUUUUUAAGUCUGAUGUGAAAGCCCACGGCUCAACCGUGGAGGGUCAUUGGAAACUGGAAAACUUGAGUGCAGAAGAGGAAAGUGGAAUUCCAUGUGUAGCGGUGAAAUGCGCAGAGAUAUGGAGGAACACCAGUGGCGAAGGCGACUUUCUGGUCUGUAACUGACGCUGAUGUGCGAAAGCGUGGGGAUCAAACAGGAUUAGAUACCCGCGUAGUCCCUGUCUCUUAUAC
rnacentral:rRNA from 1 species